UACAGAGGGUGCGAGCGUUAUUCGGAAUUACUGGGCGUAAAGCGCGCGUAGGCGGUUUUGUAAGUCGGGUGUGAAAUCCCCAGGCUCAACCUGGGAACUGCAUUCGAGACUGCAUAGCUAGAGUAUGGGAGAGGGAAGUGGAAUUUCAGGUGUAGCGGUGAAAUGCGUAGAUAUCUGAAGGAACAUCAGUGGCGAAAGCGACUUCCUGGACCAAUACUGACGCUCAUGUGCGAAAGCGUGGGGAGCAAACAGG
rnacentral:rRNA from 1 species